rnacentral:rRNA from 1 species
AGCGAACGCUGGCGGCAGGCCUAACACAUGCAAGUCGAACGAACCCUUCGGGGUUAGUGGCGGACGGGUGAGUAACACGUGGGAACGUGCCUUUAGGUUCGGAAUAACUCAGGGAAACUUGUGCUAAUACCGAAUGUGCCCUUCGGGGGAAAGAUUUAUCGCCUUUAGAGCGGCCCGCGUCUGAUUAGCUAGUUGGUGAGGUAAAGGCUCACCAAGGCUACGAUCAGUAGCUGGUCUGAGAGGAUGACCAGCCACAUUGGGACUGAGACACGGCCAAACUCCUACGGGAGGCAGCAGUGGGGAAUCUUGCGCAAUGGGCGAAAGCCUGACGCAGCCAUGCCGCGUGGAUGAUGAAGGUCUUAGGAUUGUAAAAUCCUUUCACCGGUGAAGAUAAUGACUGUAGCCGGAGAAGAAGCCCCGGCUAACUUCGUGCCAGCCGCCGCUGUAAGAC